rfam:Myotis brandtii contig286391, whole genome shotgun sequence.
GGCAGUUCUUGAUGACACACCCUGGAAUCGGGCUUCCUCCUCUCUGGUUCCGGUGAGUCACCUGAGAACCGCA